UGCCUCCAGACAGUAAGUUGAUACAGCCAUGAAGCUCACCUCAUUUGUCUCAGGAAUUAGAGUCCUGCAUAUCCAGGAUGAAAUUGAGAUUAUGAAGCUCCUGAGAGAAAGACACAGCGAGAGAGGGAACACAAACGGG